rnacentral:rRNA from 2 species
UGGGGAAUAUUGCACAAUGGGCGCAAGCCUGAUGCAGCGACGCCGCGUGAGGGAAGACGGCCUUCGGGUUGUAAACCUCUUUUGUACGGGAAGAAGGAAGUGACGGUACUGUACGAAUAAGUCCCGGCUAACUACGUGCCAGCAGCCGCGGUAAUACGUAGGGCGCAAGCGUUGUCCGGAAUUAUUGGUCGUAAAGAGCUCGUAGGCGGUUUGUCGCGUCUGCUGUGAAAACCCGAGGCUCAACCUCGGGCUUGCAGUGGGUACGGGCAGACUAGAGUGCGGUAGGGGAGACUGGAAUUCCUGGUGUAGCGGUGGAAUGCGCAGAUAUCAGGAGGAACACCGAUGGCGAAGGCAGGUCUCUGGGCCGCAACUGACGCUGAGGAGCGAAAGCAUGGGGAGCGAACAGG